GUCACCUGGGGCGGGACAGUGUGCUUGCUCCCUCCUCAGGGUCCUGCCCAGACCUCCCCACUCGUGUCCAUCCUUCCCCUCCCUGAAACCGGCUGUGCUUCGCUGAGUGGCUCUCACUCUGCAGUUUCUGGGCGAUCUUCCUGAUGUCCUGUCACCGCCUCAACCACAAGGUGGCGAUGAAGAGUGCGUUGCACUCACAGCAUCCACUCUUUAAUAUGCUCACAAAAUUUGGCUUUUACCCAAACUAGAAAAAUCAGGGAACCCCAGACUCAGGCCCAGUAGAGACCCCAAAGAAGCAGAGAAGGGUCAGUUCACUGAGGGGCCACACCUGCCCCAGGGCCAGGCCACUGUCCAUCCUGGUGCCACCACCGCCCUGCUGGCCUGGCCCCCCCCAACCAGACAGCAGUCCCCACCCAGCCCAGCACCGGUAAACUUGAGAAUAGGGGCCAAUCAACAGGGGGGCCAGGAGCCCCCAAGGUGCAGGGUGCACUGAGGGCCCCACCAGCCCUGCUGAACACAGGCCUGACACCACCUCUCUCCUUCGAGGCCACCGACGCUCCUGGGAGGCAGUCAGUGCCGUCCUCCCUGCGUCACCGGCAGAAGACUGAGGCUCAGAGGGGCAGAGUGACCUGCCUUGACCACCCACGCACGUCUAUGCCAGAGCACCAGGCUGCCCCAGCGGCUCCUCCCGGCCUUCUGCAGCCCCAUCACCCACCCACAUGGAACACGGCUGGGGUGGACUGCAGGGAUGGAGCUGGGGCAGGACACAGCCCUAGGAGCACCUGCCUGGCGCCAGCUUCUGCUGACGGCAGCCCAACAGCCCCCAGCCACGUGGCAAAGCGGGUCCCCAUGCAGCCCUGGCUGCAGCUGCUCCAGGGGUGGCCUGAGACUUCUCAAAGAUGCUGUGCCCGGUCCCCCGGAACCCCUACUUGGCCUGACCCCCCUGAUGCUGCAGGCCCCCAGCCCAGUCAGGUGGGGACACCCAGCACCCACCCGCAGGGAGGGGUGGCGUGCGGCCCACUGACCUCCCGGAAGAAGGCGGCAUUUCUCUGCACGCUGUCGCUGGCAUGAGCAGCCUGGAUCUCGGGGUAAAAGGAGCUGAUGACAUAGUCGAGCAGCUGCACUCUAAUGUCGUUCCUCCCCACGCUGGGGCCUGCACGCCCUGUGUGCUCAUCUGCAGACUUAAAAAUCUCAAAGGAUCCAAACCUGGAGGGAAGACCCGAGGCGUCAACAGGCCAAACCUGACCCCAGCCCCUUGUGAAAAUACAAAGGAUCCAAACCUGGAGGGAAGACCCGAGGCAUCAACAGGCCAAACCUGACCCCAGCCCCUUGUGAAAAUACAAAGGAUCCAAACCUGGAGGGAA